rnacentral:rRNA from 1 species
CACGUAGGGGGCAAGCGUUGUCCGGAUUUAUUGGGCGUAAAGAGCUACGGUAGGCGGCUCAGUAAGUCGGGUGUGAAACCUCCAGGCUCAACCUGGAGACGCCACCCGAUACUGCUGUGGCUUGAGUCCGGUAGGGGAGCGUGGAAUUCCUGGUGUAGCGGUGAAAUGCGCAGAUAUCAGGAGGAACACCAGCGGCGAAGGCGGCGCUCUGGGCCGGAACUGACGCUGAGGAGCGAAAGCGUGGGUAGCAAACAGG